rnacentral:rRNA from 1 species
CCGUGCUAAGGUAGCGUAAUCAGUUGGCUUUUAAAGGGAGUCAGGAAUGAAUGGGAAAACCGGGUUUAGCUGUCUCCCAACUAUUUUCUUGAAUUUACUGUUUAAGUGAAAAAGCUUAAAAAUGAUAAAGGGACGAGAAGACCCUUAGAAUUUUUUUUAAAAUGGAAAUUUUUCUAUAAUAAUUUUGUUGGGGCGACAGAGAAAUAUUUAAAACUUUCUUUAAAUUUACAUGCCGAUAUUGUUAAGUAAGAAUAAAUUACCUGAGGGAUAACAGCAUAAUUCUAUAGUUGAGUUUGUGACCUCGAUGUUGGACUAGGAAACUAACAGGCUAGCCGUUUG